rfam:Corchorus capsularis cultivar CVL-1 contig15106, whole genome shotgun sequence.
GGGUGCGAUCAGACUAGCACUAAUGCACCGGAUCCCAUCAGAACUCCGCAGUUAAGCGUGCUUGGGCGAGAGUUGUACUGGGAUGGGUGACCUCUUAGGAAGUCCUCGUGUUGCACCCC